AUUGAACGCUGGCGGCAGGCCUAACACAUGCAAGUCGAACGAGUGGCGGACGGGUGAGUAAUGUCUGGGAAACUGCCUGAUGGAGGGGGAUAACUACUGGAAACGGUAGCUAAUACCGCAUACCAUCAGAUGUGCCCAGACGGGAUUAGCUUGUUGGUGGGGUAACGGCUCACCAAGGCGACGAUCCCUAGCUGGUCUGAGAGGAUGACCAGCCACACUGGAACCGAGACACGGUCCAGACGACUAAGAGAGGCAGGAGUGGGGAAGAUUGCACAAUGGGCGCAAGCCUGAUGCAGCCAUGCCGCGUGUAUGAAGAAGGCCUUCGGGUUGUAAAGUACUAUCAGCGGGGAGGCGUUACCAGCAGAAGAAGCACCGGCUAACUCCGUGCCAGCAGCCGCGGUAAUUC
rnacentral:rRNA from 1 species